GUUUCAUGUCUGUAUUUUAAUAUCCUGUGUAUAUAGAUGUGGCUGCAAAUAGUUGUUAGUUUCUGCAUUAACUGAUGAUUCUAAAAAGUCACUGUGGUUUCUCAGUGUCUUUAGGAUGCAACUCAUAGAUGUUCAGUUUACUAUAACAGAUGUGAAAACAAAAUACACUCUCAUAAGAAGCUGAAAUCACAGAAUUUAUUUUCAAAAAAUGUUAAAUUAGUUUACUAAUUCUUGUAGUUCUACUGUCAACAUUAAUUAGGUCAUCAUUUAACUAUUUACACACAAUUUCAAACUUGAGUUGCUAAAUGUGUCUGAUUUGUCUUGAUUCUGAAAGUUGUUGGCAGUGACCAAAUUUGAGCUAAAACUAGGAUUGGUUCAUAAAUGUUCUCCAUCUGACCUUUAAAAUAGGAACUUUUUAGAAUGAAGUUUGGUGUGAAGGUUCAUUCUAGAGCUGUAAUUGAUUAAUUUCAGUGAUUACAUUUUUUUUUUCAAUAUAUAAGCAGUUAUUUAGGCUCUAAAAUGUCAGGAAAUGCUAUUAAAGACAGCUCAGUGCGUUGUAGUUUGAAUUCCAUCUUCAGAGCUUAUUUUGACAUCUCACAUGAACAUCCAGUGAUGAGAAAAGGACAAGCAUGUCAGAAUCGGUUGUAAAAAUAAACUAUCCUGGAGCAUUUUACGUUAUAAAUGGUGCUUUGCAAACGGGUUUCGCUGGGUGAGGUCGCCUCUGAGCUGCAGAGAACGAGGUCAAGAGUCGACUCGUAUCAUAAGAUGGCAAGGCUUUUCUCCUUCCCCUUCUUCUCUGUGUUCAAUGAUGGCCGAGCCCUAAGAAACUCACAGGAAAAAAAAACCAAAAUGAUCACGCUGUGGUUUGCAGAACCAGACUAGGAUCCAUCUGAUUCUGUUACUCAGCUGAUCGUGUGAAUGAACAGCCGAUUCUGACGUGUUUUGGGGGAUAAUUGUAAGGAUAGACUUGGCUGCGUAGGAGCAAUGCAAAAGCCAGUUGAUCUAAAAAAUCCUAAGUAUUCAGUUGAUCUGCAGGCUUUGUUUACAGAGCAGACGGGAAAAUAAAACCGACAGAUCGAUAAAAUGAAUGCAGCAGGGCUCAGACUGUAAAUUGUGAGGUCUAUGGUAUGGAGUGCAGAGUAGCGCUAAAAAGCAGACUUUUAGAGGUUGUGAAAAUGUAGUUCAAUAUCUAUAGUAUAAUUUGACAAAACAACCCCAAAGAGACUAAGAUGAACAAGGCAUGUAAUGACUAAAACAUGGAGGUUAAAAAUUACAAAAGAAAAAUCUGACACAAUGAGAGAGGAAAAUGGCAAAAGCAAUACAAACUGUUGGUGAUUAGAUAACUUGGUAUGUAGAGCCACCAUGUUCUUGGUAACACAUCUGGACACUUUGAAAAUGUUGGUUAUACUAGUGUUGCUGUUUUGUUUUUCUGAUGGUCUUUCUGUGUUAUUGCACAAAAAUGUCCAAGUUCUCUGCACUUCUGACCAUUGAGGUGCUGGCUAUGUUUGUUUAUUUCAUGAAGGAAAUUGUGUAGUUUUUGUUUUUCUUAUAUGCUGUCUGAAGAACUUGUGCAUCUUCCAAUCAAUAUUCAGCCCACUGGCCUGCUGCAGGUCAUCGGACUUUUGAACUGUAGAGCUUGAAUGUGAUUAAAAUCACAUGAACCUUGAACUGACUGAUGGGACAAUUAACAAGCUCUACAACUUCCACGACACUCGCACUGGACUUUUACCGAUCGUUACGUCAUCUCUGCCAAUUGAUGGACAUUCUGGCCAACGUUUGGGUCUCGUGUGAACUGAUUGCAUUUUAAUGACAUGGGAUUUUGCCUGAGCUGAAGUCACCCUAGGUUUAGUGUCCUAAAAGUGGGAUGGACUCGCUUCACAAGAUGGAUGAGGAGAGGAACGAAGUCUGGUCGAAGAGCUGUAGGACGGAGUUGAUCUGAGGUCUGUUGAUGGAAGAUGACAAAGGCCUGAUGACGAUUCCUCUGUGACCCACUGAUGUCUACAGAUGUCCAUGCCGUGUUUACCCUCUGGAGGGUCGAUGUUGGUUGGAGUCUAUCCCAGCUGACUGAGCAUGAAGGCAGGAGACAUCCUGGACAGGUCACUGGUCCUGUUGGACAAUCUACAAUGUAAGAAUGAUUGUUAGGGUCCGAUUAAAACAAUUCAAUAAGUCUCCUUUUACUGCUGCAAACCUGCGGCACAUACAUCAUGUGAAUUUCCCUUCGGGGAUGAAUAAAGUGAUUCUAUAUCUA